CUUCUGGCUCCCACCCUCACCACCACAGCCUCAUUAGACAAGGAAUGACGACUGCACAGCCACAGGAGUGACACUCCUGUCGCCGGGUGUGUCAUGUGGCCUCGGCAGGUGAAACAUCACAGCCAGGGUGUGAGUCUACAAUGAUGCAAUGUGGGGAGGCGGAGCCAGACAAUGGGUGGCACCUAGUGACCCAGGGAGCCGGAGAACGGGGUGGCAUCCCGGGAGAGGAGAGCAUACAAAGUUCCAGGAAGAAUCCACAAGAGCUCAGCGGCCCGAGCAUGGCCAGAGACGUGUACUUUCGAGGUUCUUGCACCCGAGGGAGGCAACUGCAUUUUCAGACAGCCGGAAGGAGGAAGUGCAAGGUCCUCGUGGAGAAUGAGAGAAAACAAGGUCCCCCCUCCCACGGCAGCAGGAGAUGGGGUCUUCUAACGUGGGGCAAAGGGGAUCCUCUAAUUCCCAGUCUCCGUCGGAUUUCCUAGAAUUUUGGUGGUGAGAAUGGAUGGAGGAGGAGGAGAGAGAAGGAAUUGCAGUCAAUACUUUGUCAUUGCCCUCAAGCUAUGAGCAACCAGCCCGGCUACAGGAGAAAGCAAAGCCGGGGGGGAGAAAUGAACUGGACCUCGAGCCCCACGUCCUGGCCUGCCUCCACCACGAACCAGAAAGUCACAUGGGAACAUGACAUCACUUUAACUCUCCAUGCCCAAUUUUACUGUGUGACAAAUGGUCAUAAUGAUAUCUGGCCCACCUGCUGUGUGGCACAGUUGGGAGGAUCGAGUGAGAAUGAGAUGUGAAAGUCCCUUUUAAAAAUAGUAAAAAGCAUGAAAUACUA